UACGAAGGGUGCAAGCGUUACUCGGAAUUACUGGGCGUAAAGCGUGCGUAGGUGGUUCGUUAAGUCUGUCGUGAAAGCCCCGGGCUCAACUCGGGAAGUGCAUUCGAAACUGGCGAGCUUGAAUAUGGAAGAGGGUCGCGGAAUUCCCGGUGUAGAGGUGAAAUUCGUAGAUAUCGGGAGGAACACCAGUGGCGAAGGCGGCGACCUGGGCCAAUAUUGACGCUGAGGUGCGAAAGCGUGGGGAGCAAACAGG
rnacentral:rRNA from 1 species